UUUACUCUUUCUUUCUAUAGUGGUCUUAUGGUGUAUUGUGCUGGGAAGUAUUCAGUCUUGGUAGGGUACCUUAUCCUGGUCUAGAUCCAGUAGGAGUAGUGGAGUUACUGGAUGCUGGAGGAAGACUGCAGAAUCCAAAUAAUGAAGCAUGCUCACAAGAAAUUUACUCACUGAUGAUGUCAUGUUGGUCUGAAUCACCUGAUGAUAGGCCAGCGUUCAGUGAUUUGGUAUCAUCAGUCAAUGCACUCAUUGGACCAUUGGCUGACUAUGUAUCUGGACUCCACUAACUUUAAUACAACAUUUCUCUACAUGGACCUUUUAUUUUUUUUUGCAAAAAAUAUACCUUUUCAAUCAGUUUUCUUAUCAACUUCAAUUUUUUAA